rnacentral:rRNA from 1 species
UWUUUACGUAAUCACMGGGAUGAAMUCUCAGUACCCCGAGGAAGAAUCAACCGAGAUUCCCCCAGUAGCGGCGAGCGAACGGGGAGCAGCCCAGAGUCAACAUCAAUACUUACCGCAGGAGAAGGGUCUGGAAAGGCCAGCAAUAAAGGGUGAUAGCCCCGUAUCUGAAACGGUAAGUAUUGUGAACUCGAAGAGUASGGCGGGACACGUGUUAUCCUGUCUGAAUAUGGGGGGACCAUCCUCCAAGGCUAAAUACUCCUGACUGACCGAUAGUGAACCAGUACCGUGAGGGAAAGGCGAAAAGAACCCCGGCGAGGGGAGUGAAAUAGAACCUGAAACCGUGUACGUACAAGCAGUGGGAGCACCCGAAAGGGUGUGACUGCGUACCUUUUGUAUAAUGGGUCAGCGACUUAUAUUCUGUAGCAAGGUUAACCGCWUAKUKKKAGCCGUAGGGAAACCGAGUCUUAACUGGGCGUUAAGUUGCGGGGGUAUAGACCCSAMMACCCGGUGAUCUAGCCAUGGGCAGGUUGAAGGUUGGGUAACACUAACUGGAGGACC